AGUGAACGCUGGCGGUAGGCCUAACACAUGCAAGUCGAACGAGUGGCGGACGGGUGAGUAAUGCCUGGGAAACUGCUCGGUGGAGGGGGAUAACUAAUGGAAACGGACGCUAAUACCGCAUACGAUUCAAUGAGCCCAUGUGGGAUUAGCUUGGUGGGGGGGUAAAGGCCCACCAAGGCGACGAUCCGUAGCUGGUCUGAGAGGAUGAACAGCCACACUGGAACUGAGACACGGUCCAGACGCCUACGGGAGGCAGCAGUGGGGAAUAUUGGACAAUGGGCGCAAGCCUGAUGCAGCCAUACCGCGUGGGUGAAGAAGGCCUUCGGGUUGUAAAGUACUUUCGUUGGGGAAGCGGUACCCAAAGAAUAAGCACCGGCUAACUCCGUGCCAGCAGCCGCGGUAAUAC
rnacentral:rRNA from 1 species